UGCAGGGGGGGGGGGUUUAAUCCAGGCUGGGAGCAAGGGGUCCUGCCUGCUGCAAGCCUCGGUGUCCAGCUGCUUUCUUAUCACUUGUGGUCAUCUCUGCUUGCUCCCCUUUUCUCCCUUCUCGGGGCUGGCUGCUGUCCCGGCCGCUGCCUGGUGGAUGCCGUUCGCCUCUUUCCCUAAAAUCUGCUCCUUUCCUUUCCUUUGGCUGGAAAAGUUUCUUGUGUUGCCAAGCCCCCGCCCUGGCAAAGGGCCUCCCCGAGCCCCCCGCGGUGCUCACUGCCCCCCCUUGUCUUUCACAGCGACGAGACCAAGUCCACGAGCUGGGUGCACCCCAGCACGGGUUACUCCGUCCAGAGCGGGCACUUCUCCUGCGCCGGGCUGCCCCGAGGCUGGGAGGUGGACACCACGCUGCACGGGGGCUUCUACUUCAUCAAGUAAGUGACACGGGAUGGGGGGAGCCACUCCCUCCCGCGUUCAAGUGCUGUUUGCAGCCUCGGAGGACGCUGCUCCCCACCUGCCUCUGCCCGGAGCAGGGUACUGGGCUAGCAGAUGCGGGGUUUGUCCUGCAGCCUUUGGGGUGCUGCUCCUCCUGGUCUUACCUAGACCAUAGCAAAACGCCUGCCAGCGCAGCACGGGCUGGUUUAAUCCACGUGGAGUGCCAGGGUGUGUGGUUUGGGAGGUUUUUGAGAUAUCUCUUGCUGGAGGAUGGGGCUGGGGUCUGCGCCGCUGGUGUGUGCCGAGGCGUGAGAUGGGAGCGGGGCGGGUGGGUGCCCGUGGCUCGUCCCACGCUGCUGUGGCUGUGGCAGUCCCACAGGUACCAGCAGCUGGCAAAAAAGCAGAGCUGUGGCCUUUCUUCCCCAACUCUCUGGCUCGGGGAUGGCAGUGCUGCGGCGCCUGUACUCCUGCAGACGGAGGUUUCCUCUCUGCAAAGUGCAGACGUCUCCUUUUGUGCUCCCCUCGCCACAGCAGCCACCCAAGGGCUCUCGGCGGAGGCAGCAGGACCUGCUCCAUGCCUGGCCCUGCGCUGCAGGCAGCUCCCGAACCACGUCCCUAUUUUGGAUGCAAAUGUCUCUUCUGAGAGCUUGGGGAGCUUGGGGACAUGGGGGCGAGCCAGGCAGCCCCCUGCCCUGCACCAGGCACUGCCUCUGCCCGUGGGGAGGGUCCCCAGAGCCCGAGGGGGGGAUCCUCCAGGACACUGCCCCUGCAGAGGGGAGCUCGGUGCUCCCAAGCUGGCUGUGCUCACUGGGGAUGAGCUUCAGGAUCUGUCCCAGAGCCCUUCCCUCUUUCACGUUGCCCCGUGCCCCCUCCCUGCCUCCAUCCCCAGAGCCUGGACCCUCGCGGGGUGACGGAGGUGUCUAGACGGCCUGGGGCUGUCUCGCCUCGAGCAGGGCUCCAGGUGAGGUGAGGGCACCUCAGCCAGGACCUUUGAGCCCGUCCCUAUCUGCCGGGCGUGCUGCGUGCUCAGACUGCGCUGACAUCCCCAGGUGGGCUGAGGGCUGGAGCCAAGCGCCGCGCUUAUCCGGCCCCGUCCGCCGAGCGCAGCCGAGGUGUCCUGGAGCCAGCCCGGGCCCUGAACAACGCCGGGAGUGGGGCUGGCUCAGGGAGGGCCGUGCUGGCGAACCUCCCGUCCGGGUCUGAGCGUCUGCGAGGAGCCGUCCUCCCCGCCGUGGCCGCGUGCUCGACGUGCUGCUCGUGGCCCUGGUUCCCCACACACCACGGCAGCGAGGGGGUGGGGGUGCCGGGGCUGCCGGCGAGGGGCUGCGACCCCAGGGGCUCCCCCCGGCUUGGCUGUGCCAGCUCCUGCCCUUUGCAGGAGCACCCAGGAGGUGGCAGUGGGGCUGGCGUGGCCGCGGGUGCCCUGCACCUUGCUGCACACAUGCACUGGGUCUGGCU
ensembl:lncRNA